GAGAAAGAACCCAACCGGGAUUGCCUUAGUAACGGCGAGUGAAGCGGCAAAAGCUCAAAUUUGAAAUCUGGUACCUUCGGUGCCCGAGUUGUAAUUUGUAGAAGGUAACUUUGGGGCUGGUCCUUGUCUAUGUUCCUUGGAACAGGACGUCAUAGAGGGUGAGAAUCCCGUGUGGCGAGGAUCCCAGUUCUUUGUAAAGUGCUUUCGAAGAGUCGAGUUGUUUGGGAAUGCAGCUCUAAGUGGGUGGUAAAUUCCAUCUAAAGCUAAAUAUUGGCGAGAGACCGAUAGCGAACAAGUACAGUGAUGGAAAGAUGAAAAGAACUUUGAAAAGAGAGUGAAAAAGUACGUGAAAUUGUUGAAAGGGAAGGGCAUUUGAUCAGACAUGGUGUUUUGCGCCCUCUGCUCCUUGUGGGUGGGGGAAUCUCGCAGCUCACUGGGCCAGCAUCAGUUUUGGCGGCAGGAUAAAUCUGCAGGAAUGUAGCUUGCCUCGGUAAGUGUUAUAUCCUGUAGAAAUACUGCCAGCUGGGACUGAGGACUGCGACUUUACGUCAAGGAUGCUGGCAUAAUGGUUAUAUGCCGCCCUC
rnacentral:rRNA from 1 species